UACCCCGUUUGAUGUUCUCAUUGAACGUGUGUGGUAGAACGGUUCGCCAAAACCGUCUGGCUAGUAAGUACCCAGUCAAUUUACCACAUAUUUUUUCGAGAGAACUGAUAACGGGGAUUUAU
rnacentral:sRNA from 1 species